GGGUUGUGAGGUUAAGCGACUAAGCGUACACGGUGGAUGCCCUGGCAGUCAGAGGCGAUGAAGGACGUGCUAAUCUGCGAUAAGCGUCGGUAAGGUGAUAUGAACCGUUAUAACCGGCGAUUUCCGAAUGGGGAAACCCAGUGUGAUUCGUCACACUAUCAUUAACUGAAUCCAUAGGUUAAUGAGGCGAACCGGGGGAACUGAAACAUCUAAGUACCCGAGGAAAAGAAAUCAACCGAGAUUCCCCCAGUAGCGGCGAGCGAACGGGGAGCAGCCCAGAGCCUGAAUCAGUGUGUGUGUUAGUGGAAGCGUCUGGAAAGGCGCGCGAUACAGGGUGACAGCCCCGUACACAAAAAUGCACAUACUGUGAGCUCGAUGAGUAGGGCGGGACACGUGGUAUCCUGUCUGAAUAUGGGGGGACCAUCCUCCAAGGCUAAAUACUCCUGACUGACCGAUAGUGAACCAGUACCGUGAGGGAAAGGCGAAAAGAACCCCGGCGAGGGGAGUGAAAAAGAACCUGAAACCGUGUACGUACAAGCAGUGGGAGCACAGAGCAAUCUGUGUGACUGCGUACCUUUUGUAUAAUGGGUCAGCGACUUAUAUUCUGUAGCAAGGUUAACCGAAUAGGGGAGCCGAAGGGAAACCGAGUCUUAACUGGGCGUUAAGUUGCAGGGUAUAGACCCGAAACCCGGUGAUCUAGCCAUGGGCAGGUUGAAGGUUGGGUAACACUAACUGGAGGACCGAACCGACUAAUGUUGAAAAAUUAGCGGAUGACUUGUGGCUGGGGUGAAAGGCCAAUCAAACCGGGAGAUAGCUGGUUCUCCCCGAAAGCUAUUUAGGUAGCGCCUCGUGAAUUCAUCUCCGGGGGUAGAGCACUGUUUCGGCAAGGGGGUCAUCCCGACUUACCAACCCGAUGCAAACUGCGAAUACCGGAGAAUGUUAUCACGGGAGACACACGGCGGGUGCUAACGUCCGUCGUGAAGAGGGAAACAACCCAGACCGCCAGCUAAGGUCCCAAAGUCAUGGUUAAGUGGGAAACGAUGUGGGAAGGCCCAGACAGCCAGGAUGUUGGCUUAGAAGCAGCCAUCAUUUAAAGAAAGCGUAAUAGCUCACUGGUCGAGUCGGCCUGCGCGGAAGAUGUAACGGGGCUAAACCAUGCACCGAAGCUGCGGCAGCGACGCUUAUGCGUUGUUGGGUAGGGGAGCGUUCUGUAAGCCUGCGAAGGUGUGCUGUGAGGCAUGCUGGAGGUAUCAGAAGUGCGAAUGCUGACAUAAGUAACGAUAAAGCGGGUGAAAAGCCCGCUCGCCGGAAGACCAAGGGUUCCUGUCCAACGUUAAUCGGGGCAGGGUGAGUCGACCCCUAAGGCGAGGCCGAAAGGCGUAGUCGAUGGGAAACAGGUUAAUAUUCCUGUACUUGGUGUUACUGCGAAGGGGGACGGAGAAGGCUAUGUUGGCCGGGCGACGGUUGUCCCGGUUUAAGCGUGUAGGCUGGUUUUCCAGGCAAAUCCGGAAAAUCAAGGCUGAGGCGUGAUGACGAGGCACUACGGUGCUGAAGCAACAAAUGCCCUGCUUCCAGGAAAAGCCUCUAAGCAUCAGGUAACAUCAAAUCGUACCCCAAACCGACACAGGUGGUCAGGUAGAGAAUACCAAGGCGCUUGAGAGAACUCGGGUGAAGGAACUAGGCAAAAUGGUGCCGUAACUUCGGGAGAAGGCACGCUGAUAUGUAGGUGAAGCGACUUGCUCGUGGAGCUGAAAUCAGUCGAAGAUACCAGCUGGCUGCAACUGUUUAUUAAAAACACAGCACUGUGCAAACACGAAAGUGGACGUAUACGGUGUGACGCCUGCCCGGUGCCGGAAGGUUAAUUGAUGGGGUCAGCGCAAGCGAAGCUCUUGAUCGAAGCCCCGGUAAACGGCGGCCGUAACUAUAACGGUCCUAAGGUAGCGAAAUUCCUUGUCGGGUAAGUUCCGACCUGCACGAAUGGCGUAAUGAUGGCCAGGCUGUCUCCACCCGAGACUCAGUGAAAUUGAACUCGCUGUGAAGAUGCAGUGUACCCGCGGCAAGACGGAAAGACCCCGUGAACCUUUACUAUAGCUUGACACUGAACAUUGAGCCUUGAUGUGUAGGAUAGGUGGGAGGCUUUGAAGUGUGGACGCCAGUCUGCAUGGAGCCGACCUUGAAAUACCACCCUUUAAUGUUUGAUGUUCUAACGUUGACCCGUGAUCCGGGUUGCGGACAGUGUCUGGUGGGUAGUUUGACUGGGGCGGUCUCCUCCUAAAGAGUAACGGAGGAGCACGAAGGUUGGCUAAUCCUGGUCGGACAUCAGGAGGUUAGUGCAAUGGCAUAAGCCAGCUUGACUGCGAGCGUGACGGCGCGAGCAGGUGCGAAAGCAGGUCAUAGUGAUCCGGUGGUUCUGAAUGGAAGGGCCAUCGCUCAACGGAUAAAAGGUACUCCGGGGAUAACAGGCUGAUACCGCCCAAGAGUUCAUAUCGACGGCGGUGUUUGGCACCUCGAUGUCGGCUCAUCACAUCCUGGGGCUGAAGUAGGUCCCAAGGGUAUGGCUGUUCGCCAUUUAAAGUGGUACGCGAGCUGGGUUUAGAACGUCGUGAGACAGUUCGGUCCCUAUCUGCCGUGGGCGCUGGAGAACUGAGGGGGCUGCUCCUAGUACGAGAGGACCGGAGUGGACGCAUCACUGGUGUUCGGGUUGUCAUGCCAAUGGCACUGCCCGGUAGCUAAAUGCGGAAGAGAUAAGUGCUGAAAGCAUCUAAGCACGAAACUUGCCCCGAGAUGAGUUCUCCCUGACUCCUUGAGAGUCCUGAAGGAACGUUGAAGACGACGACGUUGAUAGGCCGGGUGUGUAAGCGCAGCGAUGCGUUGAGCUAACCGGUACUAAUGAACCGUGAGGCUUAACCUUACAACGCCGAAGGUGUUU
rnacentral:rRNA from 1 species